GCCCGAUUAGCUCAGCUGGUUAGAGCGUCGUACUAAUAGUAGCAGUUUCUGUUCUAUCAAGUCAUGCGAAGGUCAACAGUUCAAUCCUGUUAUUGGGCA
rnacentral:tRNA from 1 species